rnacentral:lncRNA from 1 species
CCGCCACCCUCUGUGUGGGGUCUAGGUUGGGGGAAGGGGCCUCCCAUCUCCCUCUUCCUGACAGUGGCAGUGGCUGUCAGCAUGCCCUCCUACCUGCCCUGCUGGUCUCCGCAGGUCAACUGUACUGGAGACACCUCGCCCGCCCAGCUGUCAGGGCUCUGCUGGGGGGACUUUGCCAGGCAGCCUCUUGAGGAUCUGGCUGUGUUGUCCUUGAAUGGCUCCCUCCUGGUCCACCCUUGCACGGCCAGCCUGGCAGCUCAGGUAUCUUCUGGGGACACCUUCGCCCGGGCCCACAUCCACACAGCCUGCGGCCACCACCAUACCCAUCUGGACACCAGCCUCCAACACGCAUGGCCUCCACUUCAGGCGCUCGGGGUCGCCCCCGACAACCAUAUCCAAGUGUCUGUGGGGGGACACAAACACCCCAGGGCCAGGCUGGCGGUGGCCUUGGGCCAGUGCACCCUGACUGCUCAUGGGGAUGUCAUUACUGAGGCCAACACCACACACGCCAACUGGACCCUGUCGGUGGUGAAUCGCUGUCCCCCGCUGGAGGCAACAGGCCUCCCGCAGGCUCUGCGCUCCGAGGGCAACCUGAGCUGGAGCUCCUGUGAGGUCAGUCUGGCCUCGGGCCUCCGCAGCGACGACGGAGAAGCCCACCUGCAGCUGGCCCGCACCUGCGGGCCCCAGACCUCGGUCGUCGGGCACCUGGCCCACUCCCUGCCCCUGCUGGGCCGCCUGGGCCUGCCACCCAGUGGCACCAUCAGCCUGGCCGUCCAGCCACAGCCUGCCGCCCGCCACUCCCUGGCCCUCCAGCUGGGGCCAUGCCGGCUGCAGGGGACGCUGGAGCAGCGCGCUGGCAACCGGAGUGCAUGGAUGCUGGCCUCUGAGCCCGGCUGCCCGCUGCUGGAGGGUCUGGGCCUCCCAGCAGGGACACAGUUCAGCGGCUCCCUGCAGGCCGCAGGUGGGGAAGCCAAGGUGGCAGGGACCCUCACAUCGGCCAGUGGGACAGCCUCCCUGACCUUGACAGCGGUCGUGCACCAGUCCGAGGCCACGCUUCGAGUGAAACUGAGUCACAGGCUGUCUGCACUGCAGGCCUGUCCCCCCAGAGACCUUGCUGACCGUCCGGCUCCAGUGGGAGGCCGGGCACCGGCUGGGUCUGGAGCUGCAGGUGGGGGCCUGUGA